UUACAAUAAGAUGUAUGUUCUAGUUCUACGAGGAGAGUAUCAUGUAGCAGUAGCAGUAAUACUGCAGAUCCAAACAAGGGGCAUGAGGUGAGAGCUCAGGUCACAGGGAGAAGGAAAAAGCUGGCUGUGUUUGUGUCUGGCGGAGGAUCUAACUUUAGAUCAAUUCAUGAAGCAUCUAAAAGGGGGUCACUUCAUGGAGAUGUUGUUGUAUUGGUUACAAACAAAAGCGGCAAUGGUCCAUCUAACUACCCAUUUACUUCCAUUUUUGUGCUUCUGUUUAAUAAUAUAAGUUUUUAUGAUUUUUCUAUGAUUAUUGAGCUUAGCUACAUUCUGAUAGUAAUAGGCUUACUAUCACUAGGACUUAUGUUAGAAAGAAGUAUAUAAAUCAAAUUAAUGUCGGGGAAGAAGUUAUGUAAUAUUAGCAGGAGAUUUCUUUUAUUAUUAUUUAAUGUUGUGUGUGCAGUAACUGCUAUGUAACUGUUGUAGGAAGUUAGAAUAAUACAUAUAAGCUGAAAGGGAAAAGGGAGCGAAUUCGGUUGUUGUUAUGUUGGGUUGGUUGGGAGAGACUAGACUCUCUAAUUCCUAAAGGUGGUUAUGUUAGUUUCUAGCAGAGCAGUUGUAUUUCUCUAUGUUUUCAUGUUCACAAGUAUGCAUAAAGUUAUCUUAGAACAUUGUUAAUCAUAAUACCAGUUCUAUUCACUAUAUAUCACCCUUCCCUUACCUAUUUAUACCAACUCUAUCACAUUCUUGUUUGGCUUCUUGCACCAGUACCUUUCUGAUAGGAAUGGGUUGGGUCCCACAAGUGAUGAGGGAUAUCUCUUAAUUAAUAGAGAUGAGGUGAGGCCUAAGCAAUGGCGAGUAUAUGUGAGAAAGAAUAAGAAAGAGAAUGCAGGAAAAGUGUGAUUGCCUAGCUGGCAUAGUGAGUUAAUAUUCCACUAAUAAAUAGGAGUGUGUGGGGAGGUAGUUGGAUGGUUUUUCAUUUUUCAGUUACACCUAGAGAUGUUGGGUAGUAAGAGAAUUGUUUUCUCUAACUGAGGAGCAUUAGCUCUGGAAUCAUUUUCUGUUUUCUUAUCAAUUAAUACAAUAAUUCUUUUCAUCUAA